rnacentral:rRNA from 1 species
UACGUAGGGCGCAAGCGUUGUCCGGAAUUAUUGGGCGUAAAGAGCGUGUAGGCGGCCAGGUAGGUCUGGUGUGAAAACUCGAGGCUUAACCUCGAGCUGUCGGCGGAAACCAUCUGGCUAGAGUCCGGAAGAGGAGAAUGGAAUUCCCGGUGUAGCGGUGAAAUGCGCAGAUAUCGGGAAGAACACCCGUGGCGAAGGCGGUUCUCUGGGACGGUACUGACGCUGAGACGCGAAAGCGUGGGGAGCGAACAGG